rnacentral:rRNA from 3 species
GGUGACCUCGAUCAGUAG